rnacentral:tRNA from 1 species
UUUGGUUAGUUUAAAUAAAACGUUAGUAUGUGGGGCUAAAGAUAAUUUCUUAUUACUAAA